CAACACAACAUUGCCUUUUAGAUACUAGGGAAUUAUAAAUUCUUAUCUUUUACACUUCUAUCUAGAUUUCGACAUAGAGCGAUAUGACGUUAUUACAGCGAGUUCCCUUUAUUUUAUUUUAAUAAAGUGAAGUUACCUGUUACCAAUGGUUAAUUUUCUUUAUGCAUAAGCAUUCAGUUUACGCAUAAGGUUCCGAUAUGGUAGGAAAAAAAUCGUGGUUUCUAGAAUAUUGUAAAUCGACAUUGAAAGAGAAGCCACAUGAGGUUUUGUAUGGAAAUAUUGAAGACUAGGAAUUGGUUUGAGACUUUAUUUUAUUCCUUUCCAUAUAAUUUGAAAGAAUAGUUCUUCCUGACGUCCUUUCGUAAAAAUGGAUCAGUUUAUAUAUCUUAUUUUAACUCAAAGAUCGUUCAGUUAGAAAGAAACGAAAAAUCGAAAAUAGAGGAUGAAAACAAGGAAUUGAAAAAAAGAGAGCGAGUCCAAAUAAUGGAAAAUAUAUACAAAUCAAAAAAGAAAUAGUUUUAUUAUAGAUAUAGCCUUUGUGAAAAAAAUAACAAGUUAGAGGAGAUAGGAAUUGGAAGAAUAGGCAUUAUACCCUCUUUUAAAACAAAACAUUGUGAAUUUGUAAAGAUCAAACGAUGUUUCAUCAAACAUUGAUAGAGCUGAUUGUUUCAUCUAUUGUUUAUUGGUUCUUUUGGAUAUAACAAUUUGUCUUGGUAAUUCAAAUUUAGAUCAAUAAGUGGUAGGAUUGAUAUGGUUUUGAAAAUUUUGUGAUGUGUUUUAAAAUUAUUAGAGAUUUAGAUUUGGAUCAUAGUAUAAAGUACUUUUUCUGAAUUAAUAAUAUCAGAAUUAUAAUAAUCACAGUAAAUGUUAGUAUAGGAUUAUAUGAUUUGACAAAGUAACUUAUGUAAUCUUAAUUUAUAACUAAUUCACAAAGUAAAAAAUAAAACGAUAUUAUAGCCAACAUAUUUCUUACAAUGUAUUACCGAUUCAUAUAUUAUUUAAGGAUGAUAAUGUCUAAUUAUCUCAUAUUUCUGACUAAGUCAUCUAAUUGUUUCAAGUAUUGUUGGUAGUGAAAGAAAGUUUAAUAUAGAGUAUUAUUUAGGGAUGGUGUGUUUAAUUUUUUAAUUUCUUUAGCUAAUUCGUUGCUGUUAUAUUUUACUUAGAAUAUUUCAAAUUUGUUGUAGAUUUUCAAACUAUUAUAAAUAAAUUUGAGAAUAAUAUUAUCAAUGGUACUUAUAUUUAAGAUUCAGUGUGAAUAUGCUUAGUUUUUUUAGGUUUGUGAGAGACAUGUAGUAACAAUAUAUGGACUUUUGUUCUGUCUGUACUAUGAUAUAACCAGUUAUUAUUGCUCUUUAAAUUACUAAAUUAAUUUACCAUCUGCCAUCUACCAUCUACGAUCUUCCAUCUAUCAUUUACCAUUUACCAUCUACCAUCUACUAUCUACUGUCUACUAUCUAUUAUCUAUUACCUAUAUUAUAUAUAUACACCUCUCAUAGACAUUAAAAAAAUAUACAUACAUAUAUGAAUUAUUACUAUUACUAUUGAUAAACAAAAUAUUGAGAUAGUUAAAUAUUAUAUAAUAAAACUAUCAGGAGAAACAUACAGUAAUCCUUCGAAAAGAUAACUAAUAGUAGAUAGUUGUUCUUUUAAGGUACAAUUUGUGUGAGCCUCAACAGAUAGCUUCUGCUUCAUUUUCCUAAUCAUUAUUAUAAAGCAUUUCCUAAAUGUCCUAAAGCAUUCCAAAAUAUAGGAAACAUCUAUGCGCCAAAAUAGGCAUAUAUUGCGAAAAGUGUAUCAUUAAAGAAAUUAACAUAGCACAUUUGGAUUAUGAAACUAAUGGGCUGACGGUGAUUCUACAGUAAAAUUUGCGAUAUCGGGUUGACGCCACUUAUCAAGAAUUUAGGCCCCAACGCUAACUGAAGGAGAGUCAGUCUCCGCUUAUGGAGUAGAAUGUUGCAAUAUCGGAACUACAAUCAUCACUAUUAAAUACGACCAGUCGUGCUUCCGAAUUUCGAGUAAUAAAACGAAGUCCACGAUAAGAUUUCUAAUUGCGCCUUCGAACAUUUGCACCUAUAUUUCGCCGAUGCGUGCGUGAGUUUAAAAUGACAGCGCUCUAAUAUUAUCUGCGAUAUUGGGAUGAACUUAUCGAGAAUUCAGGUUCUAAUGCUAACUGGAAGAGGAUCAAUCCUCGCUUACAGAUAGUAGAACUAUCACACAUUGAUAGCUUGAUACACCAUUCUUUUACCGAUCUUUUAUUUGAAAUUUAGAACAAUAAAUCAUAAUCCAUGGUAGUACUAGUUCCGUGCUACGUGUGUCUUAUCCUGUCCGUAUAGAAGAGAAAAAGAGAAAAAGGAGACAAAGAGAAGGAGCAAAGGAGAGAAAAAGGAGAGACCCGCUCAAAGGUCUACAAAGGUCCAAGCGCCUAUCUGAGAAUAUUAGAACUAGAAUAAUUAAUCUAAUAUAAUUGUUUAAACUAUUAUAUAACUGUUUUUCAAUAAAUAGAGAUAGUUUAUUUAUUUCUGGAUAUACGAAAGAUCAUUCCUAUUAAGUACAUCCUGUAGUCUGCCAAUCAAUAUGCAAGGAAAAAAAUAGAAAAAAAUAAAUCAUCAUCUGUGUAACACAUCUCGUUUAAAACUUAAAAAAGGAGACUGAUAACAAAGAGGUGCAUCUUGAAGAUAGUUACAUCGAAAAAAAAUUUUCUGGUGUGCUCGGUUCAGCUUUGUGUGCACAUUAGUGCAAUGCACUUUCAGUGGUCUCUAUAAUUACCAUAUUUAAUAUUUUUCGUAGCUGUUACUUUUCUAUAGAACUCGAUUUUAUUAAAAUAAAAUUAAGCAUUUAAUUCUACUUUAGAAAAGAGAACAAGUAGAAAAUUUAUGUUAUGAUUUUAAUAAUAAAAAUGCAUAAAAUAUGAAAUAACUUUAUUCGCGUACGCGUGGCAAAUUGGGAACGGAGAUAGAAUGUUACGUCAUUUCAAUUUUUCUAAUCUCGAUUAAUCUAACUACACCCAUCAUCAUAAGAGCAUUUUGAAUGACAGCAUGAUAAAAUUAAAAGUUGACUAAGAGUUAUUCUUGAAAGGUUCUAGUAAAUCUACGAAAAUAACUCUAUAGCUUAAUAAUUGUUCUCUUCAGCCACAGUUUGUGGGGAUUUCUUCGGCAUAUCAUCUUUUUCGUUUUGUGUUCUAAUUUAACUGGUCGUCAUUCAAAAAAUGUAAUAACGAAAUCCGAUUCCAGAUUCUAAGAUAUGGAAGAAAAAUAUGCAACUCUAACAAGCCUCAUUUCUUUGAAUAGAAACUAAUUACUAUCUUAUUGAGAUAUCUUUUCGCAGCAUAUACUCAAUCGUGAUUUAGGUUGAAAUUGAGGGUGAAUGAUUGAUAAUGAUUAGUUGUAAUGGUUUAUAAUGAGGUAAAUUGACAUAGUUGUAAAUUAAGAUGCUUUUUAAGGAUGAAUUAUACGUGAUAGUUAUUUUUUAACGGACGAUCACUAAAGAGUCUGUAAUUUACACUGUCUUUUAUAAAUACAAUCUGUACGAUUGUUAAAAAAACAAUAAACUUUGCGAAUAAAUACUGACUCUAACGACUGUAUUGCACAUAAUCGGUGUAAGUUCACUUGUUGUUUAUAUCGCGAAACGUGAACGACGCUUCUACAUAGAACUUACUACAUAGUAAGCGAUUUUUUGGUUUCUGUUUUAGUGAUAGGAACACUCGACUACAUCAUUGCUUCACGUACAUUCUGAAACAGAAAAACUAUUAGUUACAAAUUUCUAAUAUGAAAUAGUAUAUUCCGACAACAUUUUAAAUUAUUUAAACAAUUCUAAAAUAACCAAAAAUAUGAUUUAUUUAAGCUUACUCGUUUGAAAAGAUACUUCAUCGAUCUUUACUUAUUAAAAUCCAAAAGAAAACUCUUUCAAUAACAGUCAAAGUUAGUAAAAACUUAAUUUCUGUUAAUUUAAACAA